rnacentral:rRNA from 1 species
GUGCCAGCAGCCGCGGUAAUACGUAGGGUGCAAGCGUUAAUCGGAAUUACUGGGCGUAAAGCGAGCGCAGGCGGUUUGUUAAGUCAGAUGUGAAAGCCCCGAGCUCAACUUGGGAAUUGCGUUUGAAACUGGCAAGCUAGAGUGUGUCAGAGGGGGGUAGAAUUCCACGUGUAGCAGUGAAAUGCGUAGAGAUGUGGAGGAAUACCGAUGGCGAAGGCAGCCCCCUGGGAUAACACUGACGCUCAUGCUCGAAAGCGUGGGUAGCAAACAGGAUUAGAUACCCUGGUAGUCCACGCCCUAAACGAUGACAAUUAGCUGUUGGGGAAUUGAAAGUCCUUGGUAGCGUAGCUAACGCGUGAAAUUGUCCGCCUGGGGAGUACGGUCGCAAGAUUAAAACUCAAAUAAAUUGGCGG